GUAGGUGGCUAGCGUUGUCCGGAAUUAUUGGGCGUAAAGCGCGCGCAGGCGGUUUUUUAAGUCUGAUGUGAAAGCCCACGGCUCAACCGUGGAGGGUCAUUGGAAACUGGAGAACUUGAGUACAGAAGAGGAAAGCGGAAUUCCACGUGUAGCGGUGAAAUGCGUAGAGAUGUGGAGGAACACCAGUGGCGAAGGCGGCUUUUCUGGUCUGUAACUGACGCUGAGGCGCGAAAGCGUGGGGAGCAAACAGGGAUUAGAUACCCUGGUAGUCCACGCCGUAAACGAUGAGUGCUAAGUGUUAGGGGGUUUCCGCCCCCUUAGUGCUGCAGCUAACGCAUUAAGCACUCCGCCUGGGGAGUACGGCCGCAAGGCUG
rnacentral:rRNA from 1 species